rnacentral:rRNA from 1 species
AUGAACGCUGGCGGCGUGCCUAAUACCUGCAAGUCGAGCGAACGGACGAGAAGCUUGCUUCUCUGAUGUUAGCGGCGGACGGGUGAGUAACACGUGGAUAACCUACCUAUAAGACUGGGAUAACUUCGGGAAACCGGAGCUAAUACCGGAUAAUAUUUUGAACCGCAUGGUUCAAAAGCGAAAGACGGUCUUGCUGUCACUUAUAGAUGGAUCCGCGCUGCAUUAGCUAGUUGGUAAGGUAACGGCUUACCAAGGCAACGAUGCAUAGCCGACCUGAGAGGGUGAUCGGCCACACUGGAACUGAGACACGGUCCAGACUCCUACGGGAGGCAGCAGUAGGGAAUCUUCCGCAAUGGGCGAAAGCCUGACGGAGCAACGCCGCGUGAGUGAUGAAGGUCUUCGGAUCGUAAAACUCUGUUAUUAGGGAAGAACAUAUGUGUAAGUAACUGUGCACAUCUUGACGGUACCUAAUCAGAAAGCCACGGCUAACUACGUG